rnacentral:rRNA from 1 species
AAUGAACGUUGGCGGCGUGGAUUAGGCAUGCAAGUCGAGCGCGAAUCGUAGCAAUACGAGGAGAGCGGCGAAAGGGAGAGGAAUACGUGGAUACCUACCCUCAGGUUCAGGAUAGCUGUGGGAAACUACAGGUAAUACUGAAUAAUAUCUCCGGAUCAAAGGUGUGAUUCCACCUGAGGAGGGGUCCGCGUCCUAUUAGCUAGUUGGCGAGGUAACGGCUCACCAAGGCGAAGAUGGGUAUGGGAUGUGAGAGCAUGAUCCCACUCACUGGGACUGAGACACUGCCCAGACACCUACGGGUGGCUGCAGUCGAGGAUCUUCGGCAAUGGGGGCAACCCUGACCGAGCGACGCCGCGUGUGAGAUGAAGGCCUUCGGGUUGUAAAUCACUGUCAGAGGGGAGGAAAUACUAGUGGGUUCUCCCGCUAGUUUGACCUAGCCUCAGAGGAAGGACGGGCUAAGUUCGUGCCAGCAGCCGCAGUAACAC